GACGAACGCUGGCGGCGUGCUUAACACAUGCAAGUCGAACGCUGAAGCCUAGCUUGCUGGGUGGAUGAGUGGCGAACGGGUGAGUAACACGUGAGUAACCUGCCCUCUUCUUUGGGAUAACGCCCGGAAACGGGUGCUAAUACUGGAUAUUCACUGAUCUUCGCAUGGGGGUUGGUGGAAAGGUUUUUUCUGGUGGGGGAUGGGCUCGCGGCCUAUCAGCUUGUUGGUGGGGUGAUGGCCUACCAAGGCUUUGACGGGUAGCCGGCCUGAGAGGGUGACCGGUCACAUUGGGACUGAGAUACGGCCCAGACUCCUACGGGAGGCAGCAGUGGGGAAUAUUGCACAAUGGGCGAAAGCCUGAUGCAGCGACGCCGCGUGAGGGAUGGAGGCCUUCGGGUUGUAAACCUCUUUCGCUCAUGGUCAAGCCGCAACGCUGGUUGUGGUGAGGGUAGUGGGUAAAGAAGCGCCGGCUAACUACGUGCCAGCAGCCGCGGUAAUACGUAGGGCGCGAGCGUUGUCCGGAAUUAUUGGGCGUAAAGGGCUUGUAGGCGGUUGGUCGCGUCUGCCGUGAAAUCCUCUGGCUUAACUGGGGGCGUGCGGUGGGUACGGGCUGACUUGAGUGCGGUAGGGGAGACUGGAACUCCUGGUGUAGCGGUGGAAUGCGCAGAUAUCAGGAAGAACACCGGUGGCGAAGGCGGGUCUCUGGGCCGUUACUGACGCUGAGGAGCGAAAGCGUGGGGAGCGAACAGG
rnacentral:rRNA from 1 species